UCUUAUAGGAUUUGACACCGGAAACGGAAGCCUUGGAGAUUUUCUCUUAACCCCUCCAUCUGCACAGACAUUCUGUAAGAAGAUGAGAGCCAAGUGGAGGAAGAAGCGUAUGCGCAGGUUGAAGCGAAAAAGGAGGAAGAUGAGGGCAAGGUCAAAGUAGAUUGCCUUCCACAUUCACCAGGAUACACUUUACACCACACAUAAUGGCUUUUGACAGUUCAAAGUUUGGAACCCUCCUUUUCCUAUUUCUAUUACUGCGACUCUAGCUUCUGCUAGCAACAGCAACAGAAAGGAAAUCCUUGGAUGAUGAUGAUGAU
rnacentral:lncRNA from 1 species